AAAAGUGUGUGUAUGCGGAAGUUGGAGAAAACCCAGACUUCAUUGCUCGAUGAAGCAUGUAGCUUCGCAGUCGUACUUCUUGCACUCCUCCAUCUCUCGCAUCUCUUGCGCAUUGUGGUUCUCCAACACCUGCACAGCGGCGGUCUUGUCCGGAUUAGGGAUCGUCUACACCAGAUAAGCCACGGCGUUUUUCUCGGAGAAAAAUACCAUCCUUUGGUUCAACAACGGUUGCUGCGUUUUCCACGUUCGGAUACAACCCUGCCCAGUUGCUGUGAGAGAUUGACGAGUGCAAGAAGACCCUCUUUCCAUGUUCCAGACGCA
rnacentral:pre_miRNA from 1 species